CUCUUGGACACUGACCAAUCAGCAACUCUGAGAAAGUUCGCCAUCGGCCACCACAUCUGGUUCUCAUUAAGUUUUCUAAGACUGCGGUAGUUCGCUGGAGCGGCGGGGCUGGGAAGCCAACACCAGUCUCCACUGAUUAUGAGGAAGCCAGGUAUUGUAUUCAGAAGGCAACACAGCAAAGAACUGGCAGCCUCUGGCCACCAGCCAACGAAAAACUAAAUUCUGCUGACAGCCACAGCCCUGACUGACUUCGGAUGCAGCCUUGUGAGAGACCCUGACGCAGAGGCCUCUGUUAAGAUGACCCAGAUUCCUGACCCAUAAGAACCUUGAGACUUACUAAAUAUAUGCUGUCUUAAACCAUUACAUUUAAGAAGGGUUGCUGCACAGCAAUGGAUAGCAGAAUCGAAUGGACACUGUGCUAAGGAAACUAAGCUUGGAGAGUUGGUUUAAACAGUGAUUAUUAUCUCAUGA